rnacentral:rRNA from 1 species
GAUGAACGCUGGCGGCGUGCCUAAUACAUGCAAGUCGAGCGAACGGACGAGAAGCUUGCUUCUCUGAUGUUAGCGGCGGACGGGUGAGUAACACGUGGAUAACCUACCUAUAAGACUGGGAUAACUUCGGGAAACCGGAGCUAAUACCGGAUAAUAUUUUGAACCGCAUGGUUCAAAAGUGAAAGACGGUCUUGCUGUCACUUAUAGAUGGAUCCGCGCUGCAUUAGCUAGUUGGUAAGGUAACGGCUUACCAAGGCAACGAUGCAUAGCCGACCUGAGAGGGUGAUCGGCCACACUGGAACUGAGACACGGUCCAGACUCCUACGGGAGGCAGCAGUAGGGAAUCUUCCGCAAUGGGCGAAAGCCUGACGGAGCAACGCCGCGUGAGUGAUGAAGGUCUUCAGAUCGUAAAACUCUGUUAUUAGGGAAGAACACAUGUGUAAGUAACUGUGCACAUCUUGACGGUACCUAAUCAGAAAGCCACGGCUAACUACGUG